GUACUGGAGAGGUCCGGAUAAUUAAUGAUUAUUCGGGAGCCGAAGGUGUAAGGUAUCAGUGAUAACCGAUCUCUCAGGCAAAAGGACAGGAGAA
rnacentral:ncRNA from 1 species